AAGUAAAUUGCUCCUCUAAACAGAGGCAACGAACUUUGAAAAGUAAAUUGCUCCUCUAAACAGAGGUACCACGACUUUGAAAAAGUAAAUUGCUCCUCUAAACAAAGGCACCACGACUUUGGAAAGUAAAUUGCUCCUCUAAACAGAGGCAACGAACUUUGAAAAGUAAAUACUCCUAGACAAUCAUGUCGGAAGGAGUUGAAAGUUAUGUUUGAAGAGAAUUUCAGGAGAUCAUGCCCAAAGGUCUUAUAAAUCAACCCUGAUACCAAGAGACAUCCUAUUUCAAGGAUUAAGAACUUACCUGACAAGUUUCUUCUCAAACUUGCAAAGUCUUUUCAUAUCUGUCUUUUUCAUGUGGGUUGUUGGAACACCCCUGCUUCUUGAAUUUGUACACUAUACUUUCUUGAAAGUAGUGUAUGCUAUGCAAAUGCAUAUGAAUUUCAAUGCAUGCUAUGCAAAUGUUGGCCAAUUAAUUCCUGUUCAAAUGUAUGGUACUCAGGUUUCUCAAGCUCUUUUCUUGGGCAUCAAGCCCUUUGAUUCCUCAAAGAUUCAAUGGCACUGUUCUCCUAAGAUCGAACCAGUGUAGCUCUUAAUUAUUUCUUUCACUCAAAUUCUUCCUUGUUCUGUUUUCCAAUACUUUGGAAUAAGCUUCAUCAAUCGAUCAUCACUUGACCAUCAUUCAAUGAAUUUCUCAGCACUAACAAAUUUCAAAACAAGUUUCAUCCAUCAUCACUGGGUCAUUACUCAUAGGUGUCUCAGCAUUAACCAUUCCAAAACAGACUUUGUCUACUGAUUGUCUUCAUCAUUCAAUCAUAUCUUGCAAGUCAUAUCAAUCAAUUCAUCACUUUUCAAGAUUUGCCCCAUCAUCACUUUUAGGUUUCUACCAUUUCUUCAUCAUCUUAGAUUUCUUUUCAAAUGAAUGUAAGAUUCUUUUAAGCACAUAUUCAUUCAUUCAUUAUCAUUUCAAAUUUUGACAAAUACAAUGCAAUCAAGCAUUUUCUCAAUUCAUUCUGGGGGUGUAAUGAUAAAAGAACACAAGGUGAAUUAUGGUAAAGAUAAUCAAUGGAGAUCUAUUUUGGUAGAACAUAAAUAGGAAAAGAAAUAAAUUGGAUGUCAUUGAGGUAAAUGGUAUGUCCAAAUGAUGAAUAUUCAGACAAUUUUCAACAUUAAUCUAGGAUUUUUUUUCAAAAACUCAUUCAUUUACUGUUGAAAUCAUCUUGAGCUUGGCGAACUCUGCCCCAGUCUUUGAGGGAUCUUCAAAUGUCUUUGAUCUUUCAUUCAUGUGAGCCAUUUGACCUGGAU
rnacentral:lncRNA from 1 species